rnacentral:rRNA from 1 species
AUGUUGGGUGAAUGGAGUGAUCAUGUGAUUUGUGGUGAUGAUGAAAUAUUUAAGUGCAUGACUACCAAGAUGAAAACCAAGUAUGAGAAGUACUGGGGUGAUCCUGAAAAGAUGAACAAGUAUAUAUUCAUUGCCGCCAUCCUUGAUCCAAGGACCAAGGAAUCUCAUUUCUUUAAAGACAUGAUUGAAGACACCUAUGGCAGUAUAAUAGGUAAUAGAAUCUUGACAUCUUCCCACAAUGAAUUUGUCUCUCUUUUUGGAGAAUAUAGAGAAUUAUAUGGAACCAGUACUCCUAGCCGUCCUAGGGAAUUAGCAUCACAAGCUCGUCCUAGUGCAAAUGCUUCUGAAAAUUCUCUAGUGAGGUCACGAUACAACCAGAAAAGAAUGAGAGUUUGCGGAGAGGGCAGCACUAGCACAAAUACCAGAACUGAAUUAGACAAGUACCUAUCUGAGGACACAGAAGAGUUGACUGCUGAAUUUGACCUUCUUGAAUGGUGGAAGUGCAAUGCUCCUCGCUUUCCCUUCCUUUCAAAAAUGGCUCGUGAUAUACUAGCAAUCCCCAUCUCUAGGGUUGCUUCUGAAUCAGCUUUCAGCACUAGUGGUCGUAUUCUCGAUGACUUCAGAAGCUCUUUAACACCAGCGACACUGCAGUCGUUGAUAUGCACACAAGAUUGGUUGCGUUCUAAGUGUAUCAAUGUUGAAGCUGAUCUUGCUGAGUUGACCAGGCUGGAGGAAGAAGUGGGUGCCAUUCAUUUAAAUGAUAAUGUGACAAUAUCGAUUGAUUGA